GCCUGCUAACUAGCUGGACUUCUAGUGCCACGGCGCUUUGCGAACCUCUUCUUGACUAGAUCCUGUUUGACUUCGGCAUACCCCGUGGGGACAACUGGGCCCACGACAGUGGAGGAGGCAGGUGAAAUCGGAGCACAGGGGACCAGCAUAAAAAAGGGCCAGUGACAGGUGGGCACCGGCCACAGAGAACAAAAGAACUCCCGGGAAAUUUAGCGAGACAGUCCGGCGGCUGUGCCUGACGCUGGGAUGAGCGAGGCCCGACUCAGGGCUCAGGCCUGAGGCCUCAGGCUGAGGCCUGCGCUCCUCAGCCGAGGGGAGCCGCACCGGGGUCAGGAAGGGAGGCCGCGCGGCCCCGAUCUCCAGCACCGGGCCUGUCGGGACACGGCAGUGGCCAUGGGAGCCGGGCACGCGGAGCGCCCGGAAGCUGGCGGGGCUUGGCGUGAUCAGCGAGGAGGGGCUCGUCGCGCGCCCUUCCACGCAGGAGUGCUUUGUUUGCGAGUGGAGUAGAGGCCAGGCUCGCGUCCGGGCAGGGCCCUCCCUACGAGCUGCCCCAGGGUGGGGACUGCGUUCGAGAUGGACUUGAAAAACCUUGGGUCAUGGAGAAUGCCCUGUGUUACCCAAUAACGACUCCAAAAUACACGCUUUCCCGGUGCUCCCGGCUCCGGCAUUAUAAAGAGCGCCACGAGUCGGCAUUGUCAAGCGGCGGCAGCGCGCGGGCCGGGGCUGGACGCCGGUUGGUGGGUGCUGCGCGGCAGCGGUCGA
rnacentral:lncRNA from 1 species